UGGCAAUGAGCUGAAUGAAGACAUUCUUAUCGGAGGCCCCAAACUUUCAACUCAUCAUAGCCCAGCUUCUCAUUUCUCAUCCCUGUUUCUGUGAUCAAUUCAUAGCCCACGUCUCUGUCCUCACUGACAUACUUCUCAUCCAGUAACUGGACACCGAAAGCCAGAGAAGUCGGGUAUUCAGAUUCCAAAUCAUUGUGCUGAGGCAAUCCUGCCUUCGGCUGAAGAAAUAGGGAGCGGGGACAAUGCGUCAGGACGGCCUCUUUUUACUCAGCGUGAGCUUUGUUACUCACCCGAGGUGUUCUACCUUGAAUCAUGGCUUUUGUGAGGAAAACCAGGAUCAUGCAGAAGGAUGAAGUGCUAUUUCCUCAGUGGCACCUUCAGUGCUACUGACACUUUCAAGAAUAUGCGUGUCUAUGCAGCAGAAACAGACACCCUGAGAUGCUGGAUUUGAGAUAAUUCACUGAGUUUUAUCAACAUAUGUGAACACACAGAUUUUCAGCUAAUAUUAGAAGUUGAGAUGAGACUGAUUAACGUGACUCCUAGGCAGGCCUCAUCAUAUCUCCUAAAAGAAGUGCAAGCAUCCUAUUUGAAUACAUACCCUGGCCCUCCUCCUUUUUCCCUUGAGUUCCCUCUUGAGGUUAAUAAAACUUGAUGUAUGAGAUGACGUUGAGUGUCCCAGGCCCAAAGAAGUUCAGGAUGAGUACAAACAUGUGCAUACCGUGGUUAGAAGAUAAGAUUGCUUGGAGUUCUUUGCUUCAUUCUGACCACGUGCAGAUCAGCAUAGAUGGUGAGUGAGGAAAAGCUCUUCCUGUGGACACUUCUGAAUAAGUUCUAAUAACUUGACUAAAAUUUAUUCCAGAAAUAAAAUAUUCAGAGUGCUCAAUUAGAAAUAAAAAACUGGGCUCUGGCUUGAGAUGGUGUUGGUGGGUGAGGAUUCAGCAUUGCAGGUAGACUAUGGGACUGAGGGAUCAAGAUCAGGCAUUCCCAUGAGGAGAUACCAAAGUCAAGCCCAGUCAAGAGCUGUCAAUUCAAAGUCCAGGGGGAAACCAAGGUCAAGGACUAUGCACUACAGUCAGCAUCAAUGCCAGCACACAACAGAGAGUAAAGCAAGCGGAGAGCCUUCGGCUGGAAGUAUCUAAAGGCCAGAUGACUGGUGUAAUUUUCAGAAUUUUUUUGGCUGAAAAUUACAGAAAAUCCAACCCAAAAUGACUUAAUCAGGAAGAAAUUUGGUAGAUUACAAAACUGAAAAGUUCAGGGGGUUGGAUUAUUUCCAGGUAUGGUUUGAUACAGAGAUUGAACAAUGUCAGCAGAACCCAGUUUUCUCUGUCUCUUUCAG
rnacentral:lncRNA from 1 species